rnacentral:miRNA from 1 species
AAGCUCAGCUCUGAAGUGCAGAGG